CGAUGAUUUUAUUCAAUCUUAGGAAUACACCUAUAGUCAACAGAGUCAUGAAUAAACGUGCCCUUGUUUUGAUUUUGGUGGUCUUACUUUUGAUUGACCAUGUUCAGGAAUCAGAAGCACUUAGACUGCGUAGAAUUUUUAGAAAGGCAAAACGAGUAGGAAGAAGAAUUAUACGGUCAAGGAAAACAAGAACUGCAGCAAGAUGGGCAGGAAGAGCAGCAAAAGUUGGCUUACUGGUCGGUUGAUGGCAGAGGAAUAUGCUUUGAGAAGAAAUAUGAACAAUGUGUAAAACUGAUAGAAAAAAGAAGCUAGUUUAAUUUUUUUUGGAUUUCAAGCUAUGGUUUACAUAGACAUUUUCUUUUGCAAUAUUCUGGUUAAUUUUCUUAAUGUCUUUGUAAUUAGAGACUUAAAAAUAAAGAAUGGGAUCAUA